rnacentral:tRNA from 1 species
GCCGGAGUAGCUCAGGGGUAGAGCAAUACUUUCGUAAAGUAGAGGCCGGGAGUUCGAAUCUCCCCUCCGGCUCCG